rnacentral:miRNA from 1 species
UAUCACAGCGGUAGUUACCUG